rnacentral:lncRNA from 1 species
GACGCCAGCCCUCAUCAGCCUCUUCCUGUGCAGAGCUGGCUCCUGCACUUCCCCUUCCCCCUCCUCCAGCUCUGGCGUCUCAAAUUAAGCCCGCGGCUCGAGGGUGGCGCUGAUUGGCUGAAGGAGAUUUGGAGACAGACCGGAAGACCCCACGCUGAGGGAGACCCGAACUGCCUUCGGCUGGGCAGAGGAGGGAACCUUAUCCAGUUGGGGUCUGGGACUCUCUCCAUAAGAAAAGAAAAGAGUGUUAAGUUGAUGAAGCCAAGGUCCCAAGUUGGAGGGGAGAAGCUACUCAAUUGAAAGGAAAAAUGCAGUGACAGGCUGGCUACACCGCAUACAAUCUUCUGAAACAAGGUAAGUAUUUAUUCUCUGGGACUAUUUUUUUUUCCGGUUGGGCCUUCUUUAGCAAACAACUAUUUUUUAUCAUCAUCUAUAUUGUUGGAUCACCUCAUUCUUCAUCACUUCAUGCAAAUAUCUAUAUAUUUCUCUGAACUUAUAUUUAUGAUAUCCUACUGCUCAAUGAUAUCUUAUAUUUAGCUAUCCCAAUCAGGUGACACUCACUUUAUUUUCCUUUCUUUGCUACCACAAAAGAUGCUGUUAUAUUUCAGUAUAUAUGAGAUUUUUUUUUCUGCGUCAUUGAACUCCUUUAGUAUAAGUUCAGCAGGGAAUUUCUGAACAAAAGAGUAUAAAGAAUUUAGUAAAUUUCUUAACAUGGUUCUAGUCAUUUUUUUAAGCUACUUCCAGAAUAAUUAGAUCAAUUCACAGUUUCACCAAUAGUAUAUUAGUAAUAUUCUUGUCUCCCAACACAACCUCUAAUAUCAAAUAUUAUACUUGCUUACUCUCUACCAAUUUUCAAGGUAUGAAACUGAUGCGGUUUUUUUUUCUUCUCAUCAAUAGUUAUUUGGAGUAUGCUUUUAUAUCAUUAUUUAUGGUUUGAAAUUCUUUAAAAUUUUUAAAAUUAUUAUCC